GAUGAACGCUAGCUACAGGCUUAACACAUGCAAGUCGAGGGGCAGCACAGUGUAGCAAUACAUGGGUGGCGACCGGCGCACGGGUGCGUAACGCGUAUCCAACCUUCCCGUUACUCAGGGAUAGCCUUCCGAAAGGGAGAUUAAUACCUGAUGGUGUUCAAAUUCCGCAUGUUAUUUGAACUAAAGAUUUAUCGGUAACGGAUGGGGAUGCGUGACAUUAGCUAGAUGGCGGGGUAACGGCCCACCAUGGCGACGAUGUCUAGGGGUUCUGAGAGGAAGGUCCCCCACACUGGUACUGAGACACGGACCAGACUCCUACGGGAGGCAGCAGUGAGGAAUAUUGGUCAAUGGGCGAGAGCCUGAACCAGCCAAGUCGCGUGAGGGAUGACGGUCCUAUGGAUUGUAAACCUCUUUUGUCGGGGAGCAAGAACUCUACGUGUAGAGAAGUGAGAGUACCCGAAGAAAAGCAUCGGCUAACUCCGUG
rnacentral:rRNA from 1 species